CACAGCUGGGGGCAGGGAGCUGGUCCAGAAAGGUCUGGAGGGGUCUGGCUCUUCUGCCAGGGUGGGUGGCCAGGGUCCCUGAGGUCAAGCUUGGGCUCUAGAGGGCUAAGGGUUUGAAGGAAAGGGCAGGAUGCUUGGCUUUGGCUCUUGGGCAGCUGGAGGUCUGUAUACCCUGUGUCCAUUCCCUCCUCUGCCAUCUCAGAGUUAAGAUGGGGUAGGGGGAGAGCAGAGAGAGAGAGAGAGAGAGAAGAGACAGACAAAAGUGAGUGAGAGAGAAUGGGGAAAAAAUGACAGAAGCCGGAGUAAGUGAUUGAGAAAAGGGACAGAGAUACUGAGAGAGAAAAGAAUAGUGAACAAUGGAGAGAUGGAAGACAGUGAAAUGAGAGAGAAACAAAGAGACUGCAGAAAAGCUGGACACAGGGCUAGACCCCAGGGUGGAAAGACUGACAGAGAGCAGAGAGCAAGGAAGGGAGCGAGAAGAGAGGGACAGAUGGUCCGAGGGGCAGUUUGACCACCUCCCCUUCCUGGUCUGUCCCCUCAGGGCUCCUCCCCCCAUGCACAACACCCCCCCUCCACCCCAAGCCUGGCACACCAGACCAGGGCAGCCUUAACGAGCCCCGGGCAGCAUCAGGAAUGGUGAGAGAAACCUGAGCGCUCCCAGAGUCCCCGGCACCCAGCACCCACCCCUAGCAGCUGGUUUGGGGCUGGCACUUGCCCCGCCCCAGAGCAGCCCAGCUCCUUGACCCUUUUCCCAGCUCUAGAUUCUCUUAAGCCCCCAUUCCCUCAAGCCCCCAUCUCAGAAGAGACAGAUGAGUUCUGGAAAAGGGAAUAGAAGAAAAUACGUAUUGUGGAGCCGCUAAUGUGCCAGCUAUGAGACGAGGAGAGGGGCAGAUGGCAGCUCACGGGCCGAGUGGGCAGAAGCAGAGCUCUCUCGUUUCAGGUCCUGCCUAGCCCUAGGCCCUUUGAUCCCGCUCGCACCGAGCCACAACCAAGCCACAUCCAACUCCUUCCAUCCUGCUGAAGUCUGGUCUUUUUCUUCCUCCCUUUCCCAGAAAUUUUGGCCAGGUCGGAGUCUCAGCCCCUUGGCUGCCUUAGGUCAGGUCUGGGGCCUCGAGCCCUUGUAGUAAAGAAGGGGAGUGUCUGCCUUGAGCUAGCUCAGGGAGGGGUCCUGUCUGGUAAGAACAGGAGCCAGGAGAGGUGUUAGGGUAGGGCUGUGGGUUAGUGCUGGUCUUGGAGGUUGGGCCAGGAUGAGAGUGAGACAAGAUAUAUGGUUGGCGUUAGGGUUGCAAGUUGUAUUAGGGCCCUAACCCCAGGUGGUGAAAAGCCUGGAUCAGCAAUGGGUUAAGAUGGGGGGAUUAGACUCUGGAGCCAAGGGAGGAACUGGAUUGGAGACUGGACCGGGAUCUCAUCUCUAAUCCAUCUCUUUUUCUCUUCAGGCCUUUUGGCCUCUUCUCCCUCCCCAGCAGUUCCUGAAACUGGGGAAUGAGGGGAGAGCCUUGAACUCCUGCGUCUUGGGUUCUUGACCAAAUCCCAUGUUUCUGUUCCUUUCUGCCUUGAUUUCCCUCAUCUGGACAGGAGGCAGGUGGAGGGCUGGAAAGGCUUUGAAGUCAAAGAUUAAAGGAACAAGGGGAUGAUUAUGAACAACUACUUAAACCAUCAUCCUUAAUAACCCCAGGGUGGAUGUAGGCGGGGGCGGGGCCUAAAGGGAGGAGGUGGCCAGGAAGGGAAGAGAGGGAAGAUCCCUGGGAAAUCUUCCCAACCUGACAGGACAGGGCCUUCUUCGAUGCCCCCUCUCCCCAUGGGACCCAGUUGGAGAGGACAGUAAGAAAGGCCCAGAACAAGGAACGGAGCCCAGAACCACCAUCUGCUUAAACCUGGGCCCACAGUCUAGAUCUUAAGCAGGUAGGCCGGGCCCCACCUGCUGGUCAGGGCCACCACGUACAUGGACUCAAUGGGCCUCAGUAUUUGGAAGCUGAAAGCCUACAAUGGCAUGGCCCAGG